rnacentral:rRNA from 1 species
GAGAUUUCCCAUAACGUAAGUUAGUAAGAGCCCUGAGAGAAGAUCAGGUAGAUAGGUUGGGAGUGGAAGUUGUGUGAGCAAUGGAGCGGACCAAUACUAAUCGCUCGAGGACUUAUCCAA